UACGAAGGGGGCUAGCGUUGCUCGGAAUCACUGGGCGUAAAGCGCACGUAGGCGGAUUUCUAAGUCGGGGGUGAAAUCCUGGAGCUCAACUCCAGAACUGCCUUCGAUACUGGGAAUCUUGAGUCCGGAAGAGGUGAGUGGAACUGCGAGUGUAGAGGUGAAAUUCGUAGAUAUUCGCAAGAACACCAGUGGCGAAGGCGGCUGUCUGGUCCGGUUCUGACGCUGAGGCGCGAAAGCGUGGGGAGCAAACAGG
rnacentral:rRNA from 1 species